CGUCUGUCUUUUUGUGUUUACGACAGAACGGCAGUAUAAUGGAGGGCCUGGUACUGUGGAAGAACAACGUGGAUAAGAGGUUCGAGGGAGUAGAGGAUUGUAUGAUCUGUUUCUCCGUUAUUCAUGGAUCCAACUACUCUCUGCCCAAGAAGGCCUGCCGCACCUGCAAGAAAAAGUUCCACUCUGCCUGUCUGUACAAGUGGUUUACCUCUAGCAACAAGUCCACCUGCCCUCUGUGUAGAGAGACCUUCUUCUAGAAACAAGUCCACCUGCCCCCUGUAGAGACCUUCAAGCAACAAGUCCACCUGCCCCCUGUAGAGACCUUCAAGCAACAAGUCCACCUGCCCCCUCUGUAGAGAGAUCUAAUCGGAACUACGUUACCAUGGAUACACAGCGUCACUGUUCCGUUGCUAUGGAUGCACAGAGACAGUUUGGUUGUAUAUUUGUACGUAUCUCUCUCCACAACCUUUUAUAGAUCAAUGCUUCUCAAUUGUUCUUUUCCUCGGGACCCAAAUUGAACCAGGUUUUCUGUCGCGAUCCAAUAUUCACAUUUUGAUUUUUGUUGUUGUUGUUGCCAAAAUGCAAUUUGGAUUUUUUUUUUAAAUACUAUUUUUUGACAGUAAAUGUAGCAAUUAUAUUAGACAUGGGGAACAAUAUUCCCAUUUUUUUUUUUUUUUUUUCAUUAAUUCCAUAUUGCUCACAAUCUUGAUGAAGAAUAUUGGCAAGCUCACACAAUCUGCUAAAUCACACUGCUAAUAGCUUUAUAUGGGAAAAUAGUGUGAUUGAAGAAAAAUGUAAUUUUUCUGAGAAUUAAAAUGAUUUAAAUGUAGGCUAAGGAUAAUCUUUUACGUACAUUCUACCUGGUGUUAGUUGUUUCAGUUCAGACUAGUAUCUCAAAAACAACAAAAAAAUAUAUAAAAAUGUAUUUCACUCAGACACCCGCGACCCAUUCAAAACCUUUGGGCUACGACCCACCGGUUGGCAACCACUGCUUUAGAAGCUCUGUUGACAGCGGUUGUAACUCGAGGUCAAAGUUGAGGAGUAAAGAUAUAUUUUAGAAGUACUAAAUGUUUUACGUCCAGUAGCCAAUGAGGAGCCAGGAAUCGGAUCAGCGCCGGGUGAUGACAUCAGAGCAGGACGACAGAUGGGUUGAGUCUCCUCCCCCCCCGAAUAGAUUUCUGACGCAUGCCAGAUCUCACAACGUCCGGGAUAUGUGUUUAACCACAUCACAUGUUAUAGCAAUCUGAUGCCCCGACUGCACAGUCGAUGACGUGGCACGCAACCAUUGGUUGAUGCAACGCGCACGCUUCUAGUCGGGCAGGAACUCGACCAGAAUGUUCCGUCUGAAGGAUGCAAUCAAUUCACUUGGUCAUCUGGUGUGAUUGGCACAGAGCAGUGAUGUUAUAUAUAUACAGACUGAUGAACACAAAGUGGAUUCAUUUGAGAUAAAUAAAGAGGAUUUAUAUAUCAGGAACUUGAAUCUCUAUAGUGAUGAUGACAAAGAUAGUAUUACUUGAUUGUAUUUUAACACACAGUAUAAUAACAGAGAGAGAGAGAGAGAUAACUAUAGCCUGGUCCCGGAUCUGUUUGUGCUCUUGCAAACUCCAUUGCUCAUUGUCAAGCCAAAACAUGACAGAUUUACAAGGAGUCGGCAUGACAACGCCAACAGACUUGGCAGCACGACAGCGCAGACUGGCACACGGGAUAGUGGAUCUGCUCUUUAUUCUAGCCUUGUUGUUGUGGUUCAGCGUGAACGAUGUCUAUUCCUUUGUCUGCCAUUCCUCUGUGUCUGUCUGGUUGUAAUCUGACUGUUCUUGCGGUGUUGAAAUGAUACGUCAUUAGCCCAGUAAAAAACAGACAACUC